UGGAGGCAGCAGUGGGGAAUAUUGGACAAUGGGGGCAACCCUGAUCCAGCAAUGCCGCGUGAGUGAUGAAGGCCUUAGGGUUGUAAAGCUCUUUCGGCGGGGACGAUGAUGACGGUACCCGCAGAAGAAGCCCCGGCUAACUUCGUGCCAGCAGCCGCGGUAAUACGAAGGGGGCGAGCGUUGUUCGGAAUUACUGGGCGUAAAGGGCGCGCAGGCGGCUCUGAAAGUCAGAUGUGAAAGCCCCGGGCUUAACCUGGGAACUGCAUUUGAUACUCUGGAGCUUGAGUACGGGAGAGGAGAGUGGAAUUCCCAGUGUAGAGGUGAAAUUCGUAGAUAUUGGGAAGAACACCGGUGGCGAAGGCGGCUCUCUGGACCGUAACUGACGCUGAGGCGCGAAAGCGUGGGGAGCAAACAGGAUUAGAUACCCCGGUAGC
rnacentral:rRNA from 1 species